rnacentral:rRNA from 1 species
UGGCUCAGAACGAACGCUGGCGGCGCGUUUUAGGCAUGCAAGUCGAACGGUAAGGCUCCCUUCGGGGAGUACACGAGUGGCAAACGGGUGAGUAACACNGUGGAUAAUCAACCCUAAAGUGGGGAAUAACGCUAAGAAAUUAGAGCUAAUACCGCAUAACAUUGCUCUCGCAUAUGUGUAAGCAAUUAAAGGCUUCGGUCGCUUUAGGACGAGUCCGCGGUCUAUUAGCUAGUUGGUGAGGUAAAGGCUCACCAAGGCGACGAUAGAUAGCCGGCCUGAGAGGGUGAUCGGCCACAUUGGGACUGCGACACGGCCCAGACUCCUACGGGAGGCAGCAGCUAAGAAUCUUAGGCAAUGGGCGAAAGCCUGACCUAGCGACGCCGCGUGGAUGAUGAAGGCCUUUUAGGUUGUAAAAUCUUUUUCUACAGGAAGAAUGUCUGUGUAAAAUCAGGCUGACGGUACUGUGGGAAUAAGCCCCGGCUAAUUACGUGCCAGCAGCCGCGGCAAUACGUAAGGGGCGAGCGUUGUUCGGAUUUAUUGGGCGUAAAGGGUGCGUAGGCGGAUUGGUAAGUUGGAUGUGCAAGCCCAGGGCUUAACUCUGGAACUGCGUCCAAAACUGCCAUUCUAGAGUGCAGGAGGGGAAAUCGGAAUUCCUGGUGUAGGAGUGAAAUCUUUAGAUAUCAGGAAGAACACCGGCGGUGAAGACGGAUUUCUAGCCUGCUACUGACGCUGAUGCACGAAAGCCAGGGGAGCAAACGGGAUUAGAUACCCCGGUAGUCCUGGCCGUAAACGUUGUAUACUAGGUGUAUGAGGCAUCGAUCCCUCAUGUGCCAAAGCUAACGCAUUAAGUAUACCGCCUGGAGAGUAUGCCCGCAAGGGUGAAAUUCAAAGGAAUUGACGGGGGCCCGCACAAGCGGUGGAGCAUGUGGUUUAAUUCGAUGAUACGCGAGGAACCUUACCAGGGUUUGACAUCUACCUGACCCCCCGAGAGAUCGGGGUUCUCUUCGGAGUUGGUAGGCAGGUGCUGCAUGGCUGUCGUCAGCUCGUGUCGUGAGAUGUUGGGUUAAGUCCCGCAACGAGCGCAACCCCUAUUCUCUGUUGCCAUCAGGUAAUGCUGGGAACUCAGAAAAAACUGCCGCCGAAAGGCGCACGGAAGGUGGGGAUGACGUCAAGUCCUCAUGGCCCUUAUGUCCUGGGCUACACACGUGCUACAAUGGAUGGUACAAACGGACGCCAAACCGCGAGUGGAGCCAAUCCCAAAAACCAUCCUCAGUUCGAAUUGAAGUCUGAAACCCGACUUCAUGAAGUUGGAAUCGCUAGUAAUCGUAUAUCAGA